GAUGAACGCUGGCGGCGUGCCUAAUACAUGCAAGUCGAGCGAACGGACGAGAAGCUUGCUUUUCUGAUGUUAGCGGCGGACGGGUGAGUAACACGUGGAUAACCUACCUAUAAGACUGGGAUAACUUCGGGAAACCGGAGCUAAUACCGGAUAAUAUUUUGAACCGCAUGGUUCAAAAGUGAAAGACGGUCUUGCUGUCACUUAUAGAUGCAUCCGCGCUGCAUUAGCUAGUUGGUAAGGUAACGGCUUACCAAGGCAACGAUGCAUAGCCGACCUGAGAGGGUGAUCGGCCACACGGGAACUGGGACACGGUCCAGACUCCUACGGGAGGCAGCAGUAGGGAAUCUUCCGCAAUGGGCGAAAGCCUGACGGAGCAACGCCGCGUGAGUGAUGAAGGUCUUCGGAUCGUAAAACUCUGUUAUUAGGGAAGAACAUAUGUGUAAGUAACUGUGCACAUCUUGACGGUACCUAAUCAGAAAGCCACGGCUAACUACGUG
rnacentral:rRNA from 1 species